rnacentral:rRNA from 1 species
CGGACGGGUGAGUAACGCGUGGAAAACCUGCCGUAUACUGGGGGAUAACACUUAGAAAUAGGUGCUAAUACCGCAUAAGCGCACAGCUUCGCAUGAAGCGGUGUGAAAAACUCUGGUGGUAUACGAUGGUCCCGCGUCUGAUUAGCUAGUUGGUGGGGUAAUGGCCUACCAAGGCAACGAUCAGUAGCCGGCCUGAGAGGGUGAACGGCCACAUUGGGACUGAGACACGGCCCAAACUCCUACGGGAGGCAGCAG